rnacentral:lncRNA from 1 species
ACCUCUUCCUCAUCCUUCCAGUUUUUAAAUGGUUUAGUCCUAGCCUCAUUUGGACCAUAAAAGAUCCACCUCUUCAUCACACAUGACACAUCACCAGACACCAACUCUUCCACCUCUUCCACCUUUACAAGCUAAUACAUCAAUGAUUAAGUGAUCUUCAAAUUUUUCACGCUACUUCUAGCUUCAUCCUCGAGACCUUCUUGAUCAAUCCCAAGUCUCAUCUAAUCAUUUCUUUCCACCU